rnacentral:tRNA from 1 species
GCAGGCGUGUGGCAGCCCAUUCGGGGCUGGUCGGCCCUCUUGUAAUCGGGCGGUUAGGGGUUCAAGUCCCCUCGCUGGCUCCA